rnacentral:rRNA from 1 species
UACGGAGGGGGCUAGCGUUGUUCGGAAUUACUGGGCGUAAAGCGCACGUAGGCGGAUUGGAAAGUUGGGGGUGAAAUCCCGGGGCUCAACCCCGGAACUGCCUCCAAAACUAUCAGUCUGGAGUUCGAGAGAGGUGAGUGGAAUUCCGAGUGUAGAGGUGAAAUUCGUAGAUAUUCGGAGGAACACCAGUGGCGAAGGCGGCUCACUGGCUCGAUACUGACGCUGAGGUACGAAAGCGUGGGGAGCAAACAGG